rnacentral:rRNA from 1 species
GGGCAGGGCGCAGCCUUAACAUGCAGUCGAACGGUAACAGGUCUUCGGAUGCUGACGAGUGGCGAACGGGUGAGUAAUACAUCGGAACGUGCCCAAGAGUGGGGGAUAACGGAGCGAAAGCUUUGCUAAUACCGCAUACGAUCUACGGAUGAAAGCAGGGGACCGCAAGGCCUUGCGCUCAUGGAGCGGCCGAUGGCAGAUUAGGUAGUUGGUGGGAUAAAAGCUUACCAAGCCGACGAUCUGUAGCUGGUCUGAGAGGACGACCAGCCACACUGGGACUGAGACACGGCCCAGACUCCUACGGGAGGCAGCAGUGGGGAAUUUUGGACAAUGGGCGCAAGCCUGAUCCAGCCAUGCCGCGUGCAGGAUGAAGGCCUUCGGGUUGUAAACUGCUUUUGUACGGAACGAAAAGCCUCUUUCUAAUAAAGAGGGGUUA